AGUCGAGCAACUUCUAUCCCUACCUCCUCGCGGUACUGGCCGGGGUACUAGCAACCUAAGGCAAGA
rnacentral:ribozyme from 1 species